rnacentral:tRNA from 1 species
GGGCGGGUAGCUCAGCUGGUAGAGCGCUGGCUUUACACGCCGGACGUCGCAGGUUCAAGUCCUGUCCCGCCCA